UGCUCUGCCAUACCUACAAACAUAAUUAGAACGUCAUAUUGUGACUGUUGACUUUCAGGCUUAGGGUACCAGGAGAAUGAGGUUUUCCAGUACAUUAAUUAUGUGCCUUGUGCGUGUGUGUGUUCACUCGUGAUGGUUAUGCCUGAGCUAGAAUCAUGGCACAUUUCAUCAGAGUAACGUAUAUCCACAGAAUUAAGUUCACAUUUUUGUGGAAGCGCCUACGCGUAAGACCCCUCCUCUAAAGAGUAUAAAAUAGAACGUAGUUUUCUAUGACUCUCGGAACAUUGAGAAGCAGUAAGUUUCCCUUCUUUUUCUUUCCCUUGUUUCCAUGGGGCCUCCAUUCCGCAACACCUGGCAGUGUAUAUCCUGCAAGGGACCCCAGCGUUCACACUGGGGAAGGGAUGGGUAGUGUCAGUACAUCCCAGGCACGGGCCUGUGACUGUGACAGCCAAUCACAGCCUGUGGCUCACCAGAGAAGUUUGUCAGCACAGAAAUGUCAUUUUGAGCAGAUGUGUUUUCUGUUUUUGUCAUACAAUGUCGAGAGACGGAAGGGUUGUCCCAGGAUGGGAGUUUUAGCGAGAGUUUUAAAUUCAAUAGAGAACUAACCAGGAGCGGUGCCUCCAAGCCUUCCUGAAAAACAGGCCUGCCCUCCCGCAGACCCAGGAUCCUGUUCUGCCUCACACACCACUGCCAGCUGAGUUCUAAUUGCAGAAUCUUCAUUACCAGGGAUGAUUGAAACUAUAAAAAGAACCCAGCUGAAUUUUUCACAUCCUGCUGGGUGAGCACAGAGACCGACUCUCCUGCUCCUGCCCGCCUCCUCCUCCCAGCAAUUAUCCCUGGUACAUGUGUGGUCCAGCUUCUGCAGGACGCUCCGAGCACUUGAUCGAGGUUACCUCAAUUUCCUCUGAGCCUCUCUCCGUAGAAGGUGGUCUUAAUACCAUGAGAGAUAUGCCUGGCCUCCCUUCACGGCUGCAGAGACAAGAGCGUCAUUGCUUUACCUCCCCAACAAAGUAUCUUGCCUGACGUCACCCAGAGGUGUGUGGCCAGAAGGAGACAGCAGACUUUUCUCUUGGCCCCCUAGGCCUUCGUGACAAUAUAUGCGUAACUCUA